AGAGUUUGAUCCUGGCUCAGGACGAACGCUUGCGGCGUGCCUAACACAUGCAAGUGGAGCGACGAACCGGGCUUCGGCCCGGGGCAGAGCCGCGAACGGGUGAGUAACACGUGGGUAACGUGCCCCGAUGAUUGGGACAACCCGAGGAAACUCGGGCUAAUACCAAAUGUGCCCUCCGGCCAUAAGGCUGCUGGGGAAAGGAAGCUUCGGCCUCCGCAUCGGGAUCGGCCCGCGGCGCAUUAGCUUGUUGGUGAGGUAACGGCUCACCAAGGCGACGAUGCGUAGCUGGUCUGAGAGGACGAUCAGCCACACUGGGACUGAGACACGGCCCAGACUCCUACGGGAGGCAGCAGUGGGGAAUCUUGCGCAAUGCGCGAAAGCGUGACGCAGCAACGCCGCGUGGGGGAAGACGGCCUUCGGGUUGUAAACCCCUUUCAGUUGGGACGAAGCUCUGCCGGUGAAUAGCCGGUUAGAGUGACGGUACCUUCAGAAGAAGCCCCGGCUAACUACGUGCCAGCAGCCGCGGUAAUACGUAGGGGGCAAGCGUUGUCCGGAAUCAUUGGGCGUAAAGAGCGUGUAGGCGGCUUGGUAAGUCCGCUGUGAAAGUCCA
rnacentral:rRNA from 1 species